CCCUCCCUGGAAAUGACGCAUCAACAGUCCUAAAGCAGACCAAUCAAUGCGAAAGCUUUACAAUAUAAACCAAUCUGAGGGAACACGUUGCACUAUAGAGGUAUUGAGGUAGGAUACAAAUACAUCCACUAAUAGAACAGAUAUUUUGACAAAAUACCAAAACUGCAUUCUGGACAAAUAUUCUCUCGCGAAAAAACAUAUUAAAAGUCUUAAGGCAGACCAAUCUGACGACAGACGUUACAGUAUACACUGAACAAGCAGUAGUGCUUUAUACCCAUUGAUUCAUCUAUAGAAACAAUCUCUUGGACAAUUACUCUUCUCUGAAUAGCAUGUUAGAUGUCCUAAAGCAGACCAAUCAAAGAAAGUGGUUGCAACCUUAACGGUUAUUUUUAUAGUAUAAGACCACUGAGGUUGAAUACAUAUCUAUACACCAAUAGAAAGAUAUAUUCCCAUAAUAGAUGCUAAACAGCAGUUAGUAUUCUGUACCCAUCGAUACAACACCAAAAACAAUAUUAUAGACAAAUGCCAUCUCGUGAAAUGACAUAUUAAAAGUCUCAAAGCAUGUCGAUCUUAGGGAAGUCGUCAAACAAUACAUUGAACAGACAGCAGUGUGCUAUACCCACUCAUACUUCAUUAGAAGCGAUUCUAUGUUCAUUCGAACUGACAUUAUUAGAUGUCCUAAAACAUGACAAUCCGAGGGAAGACGAUAUACUAUACAUUAAACAAGUGGUAUUAUUCUAUACUUAUCCAUACACCAAGAGAUACGAUGUUCUGGACAAAUACCUUCCUGCGUAAUGACACAUCAAAGGUCCGAAACCAGACCAAUACACUACACAAUAUAGAAUCUUAGAUCCUUUAAAAGGGCAAAUAAAUUCAAAGGAAAACCAUCUUCUGGUCAGUAAUAAAGCAGAAAUGCUGGACCCAUUCAUAAGUCAAUGAAAAGGAAAUUUUGCGAGAAUUUUUAGCUCCAUUGAAAUAUUAGAUGCCCUAGCAGAACAAGACAAAUAAAAUAUAUGUACGAUACAGUAGACAAGCAGAGGUGGAAUAUACCCUUGCAUACAUCACUAGAAAGAUACUUUUAAGAAAUAUCGCGCGCGAAGAAGAUAACGUUCUAGCAGACCAUUUGAAGUAAAUCUUUACUUUUGCAAAAAGGCAAAUCGGAUACCCAUUCAUAGCUACAUCACUAAAGAGAUAUUCUGCGAAAGUAACCAAACGCGGAAAAAAGUAUUAAAUGCUCAAGCACAAUAAUUUAGUGCCCUAACAUCAUAACUUCCCUUGUGUUAGGUUAUAAAUUAUAAAACUUGGUAUGGAUGAUAUUUGUCACAUGACAAUUAAAAAUCAUGAUUCAAAUGCUGACUUUGUCAGAAUUUCUUUGCGGACGUCAGCAUUAUUUCUCUUGCAUUUGUGUAGCUUAUGAUAGAUUUUUAUUAUUUUUUUUGUAAAUAUUGACAAAAAUAAUGUUAAUUUUAAUAAUUAUAUAAACAUUUUAGCUAUUUUGGCUUACUUUAAGACCCUUCGUUUGAGGCGCCAACGCAGCAAAUUUUAUUCACAUUUGAAAAGGGCAGUUUAUUACUUUUUUUCUAUUUCAUGAUAGAUUGAUGUUUACUUUUUCCAUUUACAGUAACAUAAAUUUGUAAGGUUUAAACUUGACAUAUAGUUAGUUAUAGUUACUUAUAAUAACUAAAAGAAUAUUUUUUACUUCAAAGAACUUUUUCCUACUUCAAAGAGAACUUUUUUACUUCAAAGGGGAAAAUUUGUUAUUGUUGCUUAUUGAACAUGUGUGAUGAUACUUCAGAGGGUUGAUUGUAACAAUAGUCAACGUAAUUGGAUCAAUUAUAUGCAAUUACGUCGUGUAUAAAAUGUAAAAACAUAUUUCACCCAUAUAAUCGGAGUAAUUAUAUGAUCGUAAAAAGGUUAAAUAUAUAUGCACACCACCUGGCGAAAUUGUCAAAAAGAGAAUAAGAGCCCUGGGGGGUUGGAUAUCAUAUCUGAGAGCGCUAGGCCAACCAGAAUGCCUAAAAUCCCGUAUUCCCCGCUUUGCAAAAUCUAGACGAUUAAAAUAGAAGCGUCCGGUCACGUGGUCGAUAUAAGCCAAUAAAAACGUCAGUCAAAGAUUUUCACGAUCCCGAACCUGCCCGAAAUGCACUUUGUUGUAUUAUGCGGCCAGAAGGAAAAGAAAGGAACAGUCGAACAAGAAAUAAAUUAUAUAAUAUCAAAGAAGCAUAAAAAAACAGUUCUUUUAAGAACUAUUAAGAAGAAUAUAAACGUGGGCUUCCAACAUCUGGAUCACAUGGAACGUUGGCUGUAAGAGCUCUGAUUGCUCAUGAGCAAAAAGUAGAAGUAAAAGCCACUGCUGAACAUACAAUUUGCUUCUGCGUAACAUGCGAAAAGACAUUUGAUUCAGACGAAGAGCUGACUUGGAAUGUUUGGAAGGGUAAGUUGGUUUAAAAUAACUGAAACAAAUACCCUUUUUGGUUGGUUCGUUUUUAACGUAAUUUCGAACGUUUUCUUCUCCCUUUAAAAUUUGAACUGUACAUUCUAAUUUAAGUAGUUGUGGAUUAAAAUUUGCCAUACACUCAAUUAUAGUGCCGUAUUUUUCCUGCGCGCGCAGAAAUUGAGGUAACUUUUCUGAUUAGUUUGUUUACAUUUUUACCUCCAUUUCUGCGUGCGCAUCGGGCAUUACAUAAUCACUUAGAUGCGUGCGCAAGUAAAUAUCAGGACUGUGAUUCCAUGUAUUGGUAUUCCAUCUAAUCAUGUGCAAAAUUUGAUUGUUGUUUUAAAGAUGAGAAUAGAUUUCAGCUAUAAAAUGGCUACUGACCGGUUUUGAUUCUGCCCUGUAAAAUACAAAGCCAUUUGUCAGGGGCACAGACCUCACAAGCUUGGUCUGUACUUUUGAGCCAGGCUUUGUAUUUCACAGUACGUUAUCAAAACCGGUCAGUAUUUGUUUAUUAAUGAUUAGGCAGACGUCACAAAUAUUUGGUGUUAGAGUCACCCGACUGACCCUAAUUUUUGAUCGAAAUUUUUGAUAUACUGAGUCGGAAAAACUAAAAUGACAAAAAAUAUUAUACGCUUGUUGUCUCUCCACAGCGAUUGCAGCGAUUGUUGUGCUUCGCUUUAAAAUGUGAAAAGUGUUCACGCGGAAACUGCCGGAGAUGCCAAAGUUAUCAUUAAAUAUCGGCGAUUUAAUGGCGCGCGUUAAUGGCUGGAUGGUUGGAUAAAAUUUUUUGAAAUUUUGAGUUAUCAUUCGCCGAUCUACCGACCGACUCUAUUUUUGGUGCUCAAAUGACUCUAACACCCGAUAUUUGUGACGUCCGCCUUAUGUAAUUUGGAUGCCAGCUAUCGUUCAAAGUGUUUCCACUCUUUGAAGGCUUGAAAUGCAUAAAGAACUGUCAAUUCUGAAUUCCAGCUUGUAUUGAGGCUUUCGGUGGUAAAGUAGCUGUAUAUUUAUUUUUACUAUAAAGCCAAUGUUUAGCUAGCUACUAAUAAAAAGCCUGUAAUUAGUAAGUUAAAAAGAACACCCACUGUGCUGAAUGAUAAAAGAUAAAUGGGCUGUGGUAUUUCUUUUGAAUAAACUUCACUUCUUUUAUUCUGAACUUCUGGUAACCAAUUAAACCGGGGCUAUGGUAACAUUCAGAUUCACUCACCCAUGUUGAAUCUCCAUCAAGAGGAAUCGAGCCCCGGUCAGAGUACGAGAGCUAUAACCACUAAUCUACGGCCCCACAAGUAACCUCGAGAUUUCCUCCUUUACACAAACCAGGGUUUCAAAUAACCUGGAAAAUACUUAAACUUGAAGUAUAGACCUAUAUUUUGAAAUUUUAACCCCCCCUGACGGUUUUUUUUUAAUAACUCCUGAUUGCUUUGUUAUAUGGCUAUGAUACUUACUGAGUUUUAACAUUUAUCUAUUAGACACCUGCAUGCUAAUUUUUUAGGUCCCAUACCUUUCAGAGGCUUUGAUAUUGGCCAUUACUCGAAACUACUCCUAAAAAUCUCUAUGAAAUCCUUAUAAUGGGGAAAAUAUAAUAACUCCUGUUAGGAUUAUCCUUAGAACUUGAAACUUGCAACACAACUUUGUUUUAUCAAGAAGAAUCAUUUGGAAUAAUUUGAACACGUGACUAAUUCGAUUUCCCGAUUUUGUCGGAUUUUACCCGAAAAUCGGAAAAAACGGAUUUUCUGGAAAUUUUUGGCAAUUUUUUAUCCGAUCCAUGUAAAAACCGGAACAUAUGUUAAAUAACUUUUAUUUAGCUUUCAGAAACUUCAAACAGAAUGUAAAAAUUCGCUCUAGAACAAAAGUAAUUAUAUUUCAAGCAGAUAGUGGCAUUUUUAAAUCGGAAUCCGCCCCCCCCCCCCCCAGUCAUAGUUUGUGCGAAAAACCCCGGACCGAAUAGGGUUAAAACAGAUGAUCAUUCCAAUUUAUUUUUAAAAAAAUUAUAAUUUGUUAGGAUUUGUGCGUUUAAUGUUUACAAAAUCAAGAUUUUUAAUUUUAAAAAUGUUACCACAAGAUUUUUAGUUCCGUAAAUUCUCAGUGAUCUGCUGUUAUAGGACCAAAAAAUAACUUUUUGAGGAAAAUGAUGAUAAUAGGUAUAAUUUACAUAUAAAAAUUGAUUCUUUCCAGUAUACAAUUUCUGGCAACAAUAACUUGCGCUGUUGAUUGUCAUAAUACUUAUUACUGCCAUUCAUUGGAAAGCCAUGCUAUUAAUAGUACACAUUAACUGUGGAAAUUUCCUAUUAAAAAGUUUAAAUUGGUGUUUUUUUUUUCAAUUAUCUGCUGAAUAAUAAUUUUAUAAAAAGAUUAAAAAAUAAUUUUUUGAGGAAAACGUUAGUUUUUAAAAUCUGAUGUGGUGGAAAAGUAGGCCAGGGUUGAUUUUUUAUAUAAAGAGAAUAUUUUUUUAAAUAUAAUUUCCACCAACAUGAAAUGCAGCUAAUUCCAUACUGAAUACAUGUUCUGAAAGAGCUGGCACAUUUAUAUUUAUUUUUGAAAAAAAGAGACAGUGUACGUCAUCUAUUCAAAGAUAUCUGAGUUAAGCAUAUAAUUAUAUUUCUGUAGCCUGAGCUAGAUUGAAUUUUGUUAAUUAUUUUGAGUAAGCUUAUUUUUUAAAGAAAGACAAAUAGUGCUGUGUGUUCACUUAGUAGUAGGAAUACUUUUUGCCACUUGAAAUACAAUUGAUCUGAAGAUAUUUUUUGUCUUGUAUGAAAGAAAUUUGGACAAUACUUUAAGGCAAAAACUUCUAUUGUUCUUUGCUCACGUGAUCAUUAUUGGGAAAUCUUUUCUUCUUUAAUGUUAGAUGUGGCCAUGCUGGCUUUAUGCAUAUUGGUUGAUUUUAAUUCGGGUUGCACUGAAAAAUUAUUAUAUAAAAAACUCAAUUUUAAUAUCUCAAAGAAAACUUAGUUAAAGGAGCACUCCAGUGAAAAAAAAAUAUUUAAAAAAAAAUGUUAUAUAAAACAUAGAAUCGGAUAAUUCUCUUCAUGAGAAAGACUUUACAAAGCUACAGCCACACGACUUCGAACCUCUUCUGUCUCACAAGGGAGAAAUUAAUAAUGAUGCAAAGUGAUGAGGUGUCUUUUACUGGCUCAAGCAACGUUCUUAGCAAAAUAUUUAUUUUUUUUAAGAAAUAAAUAUACUUAAUCGCUUUUUUUAACAUUCUUUUCGUCAAAAAACUUUAUCAUUUGCUUCAUUAAAAAAUCUUUUAUACUUUACAAGCCAAUUUAUUUUUUUUUACAGUUCAGCAAUAUUUUUCCUCUGCACGCGCUUUUUUGCGCACAAAUGUAAACAAAUUUUAUGUAACGUUAAAAUUUUCUCCGUGAUGGAGUACCAUUGAAAUGCGUGAUAUAAAAUCAAUAUGUUCGGGCUAGAUAAGUUGGUAAAACGGGGUAUUAUUAUUGUAUAAAUAAAAAUCAAUCUUAUGAUUAUGGUAAGUCAUAAAUGUGUUGCAGAAGCUACUGACUUACAAGUGGUUGUUUUGACAAAGCUGUUUUAGAAACUGCAUUAUCAGCAUUACAUGCAGCCAUUAUAAAGUUACAAAGAUUGAAGAAAA